GCACGGAUACCCAAGCGGUCUAAGGGGCCAGGUUCAGAACCUGGUGGCUUAGUGCCUUCGGAGGUUCGAAUCCUCCUCCGUGCA
rnacentral:tRNA from 1 species